rnacentral:tRNA from 2 species
GUGGAUGUAGUUCAGUCGGUUAGAGCGUCAGAUUGUGGUUCUGAAUGUCGUGGGUUCGAGUCCCACCACCCACC